CCUACGGGUGGCUGCAGUGAGGAAUAUUGCACAAUGGGGUUACCCCUGAUGCAGCGAAGCCGCGUGAGUGAAGAAUUCAUUCGUUAUGUAAAGCCCUAUCAGCCGGGAAGAAACUGACGCUACCUGUGUCAGAAGCCCCGGCUACCUACGUGCAAGCAGCCGCGGUAAUCCGUAGGGCGGACGCGUUAUCCGGAUUUACUGGGGGUAAAGGGGGCGUAGACGGCAGUGCAAGUCUGGAGGGAAAAGCGGGGGCUCAACCCCCGGACUGCUGUGGAAACGGGAAGGCUGGAGUGGAUGAGAGGUAAGUGGAAUGCCUAGUGUAGCGGUGAAAUGCAUAGAUAUGAGGAGGAACACCAGUGGCGAAGGCGGCUUACUGGACUGUAACUGACGUUGAGGCUCGAAAGCGUGGGUAUCAAACAGGAUUAGAUACCCGAGUAGUC
rnacentral:rRNA from 1 species